CAUGGCUGUCGUCAGCUCGUGCUGUGAAGUGUUGGGUUAAGUCCCGCAACGAGCGCAACCCCUAUCAUCUGUUGCCAGCAUUUAAGGUGGGGACUCAGAUGAGACUGCCGGUGACAAACCGGAGGAAGGUGGGGACGACGUCGAAGUCAUCAUGGCCCUUAUGUCCUGGGCUACACACGUGCUACAAUGGCCGGUACAGAGUGAAGCGAGGCAGUGAUGCCAAGCGGAUCCCUUAAAGCCGGUCUCAGUUCGGAUUGAAGUCUGCAACUCGACUUCAUGAAGCUGGAAUCGCUAGUAAUCGUGGAUCAGCAUGCCACGGUGAAUACGUUCCCGGGCCUU
rnacentral:rRNA from 1 species